GUAUGAUGAUUAAUACUGAGUGUCAACUUGAUUGGAUUGAAGGAUGCAAAGUAUUGAUCCUGGGUGUGUCUGUAACAGUGUUGCCAAAGGAGAUUAACAUUUGAGUCAGUGGGCUGGAGAAGAAAGACCCACUCUUAAUCUGGUGGGCACAAUCUAAUCAGCUGCCAGCACAGCUGGAAUACAAAGCAGGCAGAAAAAUGUGAAAAGGUGAGACUGGCCUAGCCUCCCAGCCUAUAUCUAUCUCCCGUGCUGGAUGCUUCCUGCCCUCAAACAUCAGACUCCAAGUUCUUCAGUUUUGAGACUCAGACUGGUUCUCCUUGCUCCUCAAGCUUGCAGACAGCCUAUUGUGGGACCUCGUGAUCAUAUUCCUUCAAUUAGAGUGCCUCUGAAAGACAGGGUGUAUUCCAGCUGGCAUUGGGACAACCUAAAGUUUAAACCUUUGGGUGAAAAAGUGCCAACUUGGGAGACAUAUUAUCAAGACUGAAUCAGAGAGUUGACAGCAUACCAGGAAGUGUCACUGUAUAGUUUGGAAGAUGGAAAUCAUACUACUUUUUUCCCAUGUAAGCACUCCAGGAAAUUAACCUCCAAAUACAACUGAGGAAUAGGCACCGUUAUGGCUUUUUUACAGAUCAAUAAACUGAUGAAAUACGGUGAAGCUAUGUAAGUAGACCAAAGAUGUACAAGAAGACACACAUUGAGCAGAAAAUAAAUUUAAGCCUGGCUUCUCAACUCUUUAUUUAACCAGAGACGGUUCUAUCUCAAACAUGAGGUUCUAUAUGAAAGCAGGAGGGAAUUAGGAAGUAAAAUCUGUUUCACAGAUGAAGAGAGGAAUUUUGCCCCAGGAUGGACCAUACCAUGAGUCUCACCUAUUAUUGAUUUAAAUAUUUAGAUGAGAAUUUGGACUUCAUCAGAAUUAAAAACUUUUCAUUAUCAGGAAAGUGAAAAGACAACCUAUAAAAUUAGAGAAAUAUUUAUAAAUCACAAAGCUGAUAAGGAUCUAGUAUCCAGACAAUACAGUGAACUCUUAAAACCCAUCAACAAAAAGAAAACCCAAUUUUAAAAAUGGGAAAAAAGUUAAAUAGACUUAAAA
rnacentral:lncRNA from 10 species